AAGACGUGUCUGUGCCCUCGACCUCGGCAGUGAGAGAUUUGCCAUUGAGUCCUCCGAAGAAGAGACUAAAGAGAGGGCAUCCAGAGUUUUCAAUUGUUAGUGUACCAGUAACGGCGACGUCUGCAACGGGUACCCGCUCAAAAUCGCGCACAUCCGUUCACAUCGAGGAAGACUGCACAUCACAAGUUGUUGAUGCGUCGUCCACUGAUGUUGGCCCUUCAUGUUCGACAAGUUCGGACCUUCCUUCAGUGAGUACCAGCCAUGUAAUAUGCUUAAGCUUUAUACGUAAUUUUCCGA